ACUCCUACGGGAGGCAGCAGUGGGGAAUAUUGCACAAUGGGCGAAAGCCUGAUGCAGCAACGCCGCGUGAGCGAUGAAGGUCUUCGGAUCGUAAAGCUCUGUCCUCAAGGAAGAUAAUGACGGUACUUGAGGAGGAAGCCCCGGCUAACUACGUGCCAGCAGCCGCGGUAAU
rnacentral:rRNA from 2 species